rnacentral:rRNA from 1 species
CUCGUGUCGUGAGAUGUUGGGUUAAGUCCCGUAACGAGCGCAACCCUUGUCCUUAGUUACCAGCACGGUUAUGGUGGGCACUCUAAGGAGGACUGCCGGUGACAAACCGGAGGAAGUGGGGAUGACGUCAAGUCAUCAUGGCCCUUACGGCCUGGGCUACACACGUGCUACAAUGGUCGGUACAAAGGGUUGCCAAGCCGCGAGGUGGAGCUAAUCCCAUAAAACCGAUCGUAGUCCGGAUCGCAGUCUGCAACUCGACUGCGUGAAGUCGGAAUCGCUAGUAAUCGUGAAUCAGAAUGUCACGGUGAAUACGUUCCCGGGCCUU